rnacentral:ribozyme from 1 species
UGCAGAGGGGUAGGGGAGGAAGCUCUCCCCUACUAAUGCUACUGUCAGGUCCCAAGUCCUG